CGGACGGGUGAGUAAUGUCUGGGAAACUGCCCGAUGGAGGGGGAUAACUACUGGAAACGGUAGCUAAUACCGCAUAACGUCGCAAGACCAAAGAGGGGGACCUUCGGGCCUCUUGCCAUCGGAUGUGCCCAGAUGGGAUUAGCUAGUAGGCGGGGUAACGGCUCACCUAGGCACGAUCCCUAGCUGGUCUGAGAGGAUGACCAGCCACACUGGAACUGAGACACGGUCCAG
rnacentral:rRNA from 1 species